UUUUAUGGAGAGUUUGAUCCUGGCUCAGGAUGAACGCUGGCGGCGUGCCUAAUACAUGCAAGUCGAGCGAACGGACGAGAAGCUUGCUUCUCUGAUGUUAGCGGCGGACGGGUUAGUAACCCGUGGAUAACCUACCUAUCAUACUGGUAUCACUUCGUGAAAACGGAGCUAAUCCCGGAUACUACUUUUAACCGCAUGGAUCAAAAGUGAAAGACUGUCUUGCUGUCACUUAUAGAUCGAUCCGCGCUGCAUCAGCUAGCUGGUAAG
rnacentral:rRNA from 1 species